rnacentral:rRNA from 1 species
GGCGGCAGGCCUAACACAUGCAAGUCGAGCGGUAACAGAGAGGUGCUUGCACCUUUGCUGACGAGCGGCGGACGGGUGAGUAAUGCUUGGGAACAUGCCUUGAGGUGGGGGACAACAGUUGGAAACGACUGCUAAUACCGCAUAAUGUCUACGGACCAAAGGGGGCUUCGGCUCUCGCCUUUAGAUUGGCCCAAGUGGGAUUAGCUAGUUGGUGAGGUAAUGGCUCACCAAGGCAACGAUCCCUAGCUGGUUUGAGAGGAUGAUCAGCCACACUGGAACUGAGACACGGUCCAGACUCCUACGGGAGGCAGCAGUGGGGAAUAUUGCACAAUGGGCGAAAGCCUGAUGCAGCCAUGCCGCGUGUGUGAAGAAGGCCUUCGGGUUGUAAAGCACUUUCAGUCAGGAGGAAAGGGUGUGAGUUAAUACCUCACAUCUGUGACGUUACUGACAGAAGAAGCACCGGCUAACUCCGUGCCAGCAGCCGCGGUAAUACGGAGGGUGCGAGCGUUAAUCGGAAUUACUGGGCGUAAAGCGUACGCAGGCGGUUUGUUAAGCGAGAUGUGAAAGCCCCGGGCUCAACCUGGGAACUGCAUUUCGAACUGGCAAACUAGAGUGUGAUAGAGGGUGGUAGAAUUUCAGGUGUAGCGGUGAAAUGCGUAGAGAUCUGAAGGAAUACCGAUGGCGAAGGCAGCCACCUGGGUCAACACUGACGCUCAUGUACGAAAGCGUGGGGAGCAAACGGGAUUAGAUACCCCGGUAGUCCACGCCGUAAACGAUGUCUACUAGAAGCUCGGAACCUCGGUUCUGUUUUUCAAAGCUAACGCAUUAAGUAGACC